AACGUAUGGAUUUAGAUAAUGUUUGAAAGAAAGAUAUCAGACAUGCUAGAAAAUAGGUCAAACUGUCAAACCUUGGCCACGUUCCGAAUAGAUAAGCCAUGUAUUAAGGAAAAAAAAAAGAAAAGAAAAAAAAAAAAGCAGAUAAUAACAAAAUCAAUCAGCCAUUCCCACGUCCAAAUCUAAAAAAAAAAUAAAACAGAAAGAGCAUAUACACGUUCCUUGAUUUAUGACCACGUCCAAGUCUCAACUGCAAGUUGCAGUUCCAACUGCAAGUACAAAUGGAUUACAAAUAUCCACAAUUAACUCCAUACCAGUUGCCACAAUUCAUUUAUUUAUGCCCAAAUUUAAGUAAUUACGUUCAUCCUCCUUCUCACUGCAAACACAACCAUUUGAAGGUACCAACUAUAUCUAUGAAGACCUUUUUCACUGCUGCUAGCACGUCUUUAUUUGUUUUUGCUACUAACUAUAUUGUUCUUUUUACAGAGGUUCUUCACUGAUUUUGGAGGUGAGUCACAAAGAAAACCACAUGGCCAAUUUUGAAGCUUCCAUCUUCUGAUUCUUUAAAUGAAUAAUUGGCUUUGGCUUCUUGACGGGUUAUGGAGGUGAAUCAUAACGGUUCAGAUCCAAUUUUGAUGGCAGGUUAUUUAGAUGAAUGAUUGGCUUUGGCUUCGACACGGGUGCAAAAAGUGAAUCACAUCAGUUCCACUUCAAUUUGCAUUACUACUCAAUUACAUACGGAGGGACACUUAUCUGCACACAGAAGCAAACGCCAACGACUCAUGGACCAAAUGGAGCGUGUGCGUGCUCGGCACCGACAAUGGCGAGAGUCAAUGAGUUCUUCACAACGUCAAGCAUACUAGGCACGACGACGCGCAAUAGCUCAAGAAAAGCGACCCGUGGUGGAAACUAGCCCAAGUAACAGAGCUGAACACGCUCCAGAAGAAUUUGACAAUGAAGGCACAAGUUCAAGAAUUUCUUCAAAUUCCAACAAACCCGAACAAGACUACUCAAGGGUUCGCUUAACUCGCAUAAGACAAAUGGCACGUUCGAAUAGAUCAGAAACAAGCGAUGGAGUUGUCCGAAUUUCUACUCGCUAUGGUGAGCUUAAUAUAUUAAACUUAUUGAUAGCGAAUCAUGUGUAUGUAUUGUUGUAAACAACUUUUGAUAAGGAUCAAUAUUUUUACUUAUAUCCAGAGUUACCUAAUGCUACCAUGAAUAAUCAUGAGGAGCAUAACAACAACAAUGUGGCCAUGAAUAAUGAUGAGGAACAUACCAACAACAUUGAGGAAGACAAUGA